AAAAAGUGCUCGAGAAAUUCGAUAUGUCGGACAGCAUCUGUGGAGAGAAAGGAACUGAGUAAAGAUAGGAGUCAGUAUAGAAAGAGGAGCUGUAACCAGCUGAGGGCAAUGCAUUUGGCAAAGUCUACUUGGAGUUCAGCAAGGCGUUUGAUACAGUCCUGCAUGGGAGGAAGGGGUCUAGAACCCACAAGCUACUACAAGCAAGAGGCGAACAAAAAUUGAAUGAAUAGCCACAAGACAAGGGAUGGAUCCAAGGUGACAGGUGCUACCCACUUCCAACAUGACUGAUGACGCCCACCAGAAACAUUAGCUGUGAGGUACAAGAAAGGUUCAGUGUCAGUCACAUCACAAGAAGGAACAUCAUAAAACAAAUCAUCUGUCUGCUGAUUCCACUGCCUCAUUAUACCAGGGUUGCCUUCCAGUAUAAUUCAGUUAAAGCAGAUAAUUAUUCUUAUGCAGUACUGUAUAACCUUGCCAUUUCAGAAGGUGAUAACAUCAGCCCUGAGGAAGGAGUGGAGGCAGAUGCUGCAUCUGAUGAGCAGUGUGGGGAAAUAGAUCUGCAUCAGCAAGCAGCUGCUGAUGAUUGUGACUGGAAUUUAAGGUCCAAGAGGUAUGGGUCCACCUCAUACUGAUCUGCUUCAAACUACCUGGUCACUCAUUUUUCACAGAUGGUACAGUUUGGAUAGCUCAGCUGGCUAGUUUGCAAUGCAGUGUAAUGCUAAUGACAUGAGUUCAAUUCUCACUCAGGCUGUGGUUAUCAUAAAAAGUCUCUUUCUAAGCAUCUCCCCUCACCUGGGGUGGGGGGUGACCUUCAGAUUAAACUCCCACUAAUUAUCUCUAAAGAGAGAGUAGAACUGUGAUAACUUUCUCUUUUGCAUAUUGCUGCAAUCAGGAGCUCACAAUGCUGCUCUUCAUUUUCACACAGAAAUCCACAUGUCAAUCUGCAAGAAUACAGCCACUGUCCCUCAAACACAAGCUAAUAAAGAUCAUGCAUUUCUGACUGGGAAACAUCAUGGGGAUCACAUGUAAAUAAUACAUUUUCUGAAUAAAACAACAAUUUUUCAAUGUGACACCAACAACUUUUUGUUAACAUUCGAAAUAUCAGUGCUAUCUUGCAGUGUGAAAGCAAAUUUUUUGAAACCCUUCUGUAUGCUGCAGCAAGGUGAAUUCCCAAAAUUGGUGAAUGUGGUGUAAACAGGCUAUUGUUUUCUCUGUCCAAGGGCCUCUUAUUAUGAGAUUAGGUUACUUGCAGUGGGUCUGGGGAGCUCUUGACAACACACCAAGUAUCUUAAAAGGAAUCUUCAAUUAUGUCAGGUUGCUUUCCCAGGUCUCUCGGUGCAACUAAGCACUGCCCUGCUUUCCCUUGACUGAGGUACACCUGGAGGAUAUCCUUUCACUGGCCUGCUGCUGCAAUAAGCUCGUGGCAUCAAUCAUAAUUUGUAAGGUUUUGCUCUGCCUUUGUCAAUGGACACAUCUGACACUCUAACCCAGUCUUGGGUCUCUCCUUGGGGCGUUGGCACCCCUAAACUCUGCAAGCACAAGGGGAGAAAAAGUGAGAUUUCCAGUAAAUCGAAGAAAACUACCCCCCGUCCGGUCGUUUCCUGGUCCUAUGAUGUGCGACGUG